AAACACUCCGAUUGACUGCUGCUGAGGCUUGAACACUGCCAGAGAGAACUGCGUUGAUUAUGAAGGGGAAAGGUGUAAUGACUGUUUUCCUACUUGCACUUGUUGCAAAAUCCUCCGUGUCUCUUCCGAUCACUAUAACCGUGAUUUUGAAUCACCCAGUUACACCGCCCUGCUCUGGAUCAUGCCAUGGUGGCAGAAGUAAGACGGGAAGGAAAGAUCCAUAGAAUAAAUGGAACAUUCUGCCAUCACUCCGUGGAUCCAAGACCAAGAAAACACAUCCCCUCAGGAAAAAAACACUGGCAUGUCACGCUCUGCUCUGUCGUCGCUGCCAGCCACCAGCAUGAAUGGCUGUGCUCUACAUUCUCAGUGUCUCGGUCUGACAAGACUCCCCACUCGACAGUGCUCUAGUAGUUUACAAUCAUCUCUCAAUAUCUAUAAUAACACUUAUUAGGAAGGCUAUCCGAAUGAAUUAGGAUCCGAAAUGGCAAGUCAGGUCAGUCACUAGAAAACCAAGCUGUAUUGGAUAGAAAAUGGUAGAGUAAAUUAACCUUACCGGACGAAGCAUACUACCAAUCUACAGGCGAAAUGUAUGUCUCCCUUUUGUAAGUGAAUGGAAAUACAAGUCACUAUAAAACCAGCACUGUGUCUCUAUUCACUGACACUGAGCUGUCCGAAGAAACCAGAAGGGAGCUGCCAACCGUCAUCAUCAGAAGAACAAAUCAGCCAGAAACACUCCGAUUGACUGCUGCUGAGGCUUGAACACUGCCAGAGAGAACUGCGUUGAUUAUGAAGGGGAAAGGUGUACUGACUGUUUUCCUACUUGCACUUGUUGCAAAAUCCUCCGUGUCUCUUCCGAUCACUAUAACCGUGAUGUUGAAUCACCCAGUUACACCGCCCUGCUCUGGAUCAUGCCAUGGUGGCAGAAAUAAGACGGGAAGGAAAGAUCUAUAGNNNNNNNNNNAGAGUGAACUUCUCCCCUGGCUAUUAUUUCAAAGCUGUCAAAGCUUGAAGUCGUUUGACUCAUUUCCAUCCCAGCCCGAAACUGAGAAACAACCUUGGUUGGAUAAAACGGCCUCGUUUGGAUAUAACGGCCUCGGUCGGAUAUAACGCGUUGACUGGAUAAAAAGACCUCGGUUGGAUAAAACCGUGGAUGUAAGUGAAUGGAAAUACAAGUCACUAUAAAACCAGCACUGUGUCUCUACUCACUGACACUNNNNNNNNNNUGUAAGAAUGUGAAAAUAAAAGGGGAACUGUUUCUUCAGAGCGGUCAGUGAAGCACUACGCAAUCCAUUAUAUGGAUGAGGACAGUCUGGGAAACCUUUUUGGUAUGGUAAAUUGCAAAGGGAACGAGAUUCAAGGUGGCGUUUGAUAACUAGGUUUUUUUUUCGAUUGGGACAGGUGCACGCUUCUCAGAGAUCACAAGUGUCCCACAUCAGCAGCCUGUAAAAGGGUCAUAUUGACAACCCGACCCAUGAACCAGAUGGUUG
rnacentral:lncRNA from 13 species